ACUCAAAGGAAUUGACGGGGGCCCGCACAAGCGGUGGAGCAUGUGGUUCAAUUCGAUGCAGAGCGAAGAACCUUACCUGGGCUUGACAUGCUGGAAGUAGGAGCCUGAAAGGGCAACGACCUGUUGAGUCAGGAGCCAGCACAGGUGGUGCAUGGCUGUCGUCAGCUCGUGCCGUGAGGUGUUGGGUUAAGUCCCGCAACGAGCGCAACCCUCACCCGAUGUUGCUACCAGUUCGGCUGGGCACUCUUCGGGAACUGCCGGCGAAGAGCUGGAGGAAGGGGGGGAUGACGUCAAGUCCGUAUGCCCCUUAUGUCCAGGGCUACACACAUGCUACAAUGCGUGAUACAGAGGGCUGCGAACCCGCGAGGGGGAGCCAAUCCCAGAAAGUCACGCUCAGUUCGGAUUGCAGGCUGCAACUCGCCUGCAUGAAGGCGGAAUCGCUAGUAAGCGCAGAUCAGCAGGCUGCGCUGAAUACGUUCCCGGGCCUUGUACACACCGCCCGU
rnacentral:rRNA from 1 species